CAUACAACACUAGUCCUCUUACGAGAAGAGGUUUGAUCUUCACUCGGUUCACUAGUUCUAGAGGAACUAGGAACAUGGGGUUGGGGAUUAGUUUCUUCUCCCUCAGAAACAGGAGGAAUGCCAAACUGACUUUCCUCAAAAGAUGACAUAUCUAAAUUGAUGAAUUCAAAAAUAAAAACUAACCACAAGGAGGAUUGGAGGAAUUGCGUAGAGGGUCGGAGGGCAGAGGCAGAGCCGAGAUUCUGAGCUUCCUCUUGUGCUCUCAACAGGAGUGACCUUCUCUUCUCAACAGGAACCUCCUCUUGUGUAGCACUUGAACACUUGCUAAAUGCAAACUAAAAAUUAAAUUGCUAGAAGAGCACUUUAGAAGAGAGAAAUAAUAGUAGUAAAGAAGGAGAGAAUAGUUGGUUUGGUGUGGUGAGAAUGAGGGAGGAAAGGGCUAUUUAUAGAAGCCCAAAAUUUUUUUUUUCCCAAAAUACCCCUCAAUUCAGCCGUUAUUGGACUGUUGGGAGGGGUAAAAAUGUCAUUUUCCCAAAAUAGCCGUUGGAAACGGCUAUUUUCCUCCC
rnacentral:lncRNA from 1 species